GAUGAACGCUGGCGGCGUGCUUAACACAUGCAAGUCGAACGGAAAGGCUCCUGCUUGCCGGGGUACUCGAGUGGCGAACGGGUGAGUAACACGUGGGUGAUCUGCCCUUCACUUCGUGAUAAGCCUGGGAAACUGGGUCUAAUACCGGAUAGGACCACAUUUUGGAUGGUGUGGUGGAAAGUUUUUCGGUGUGGGCUGAGCUCGCGGCCUAUCAGCUUGUUGGUGGGGUAAUGGCCUACCAAGGCGUCGACGGGUAGCCGGCCUGAGAGGGUGUACGGCCACAUUGGGACUGAGAUACGGACCAGACUGCUACGGGAGGCAGCAGUGGGGAAUAUGGCACAAUGGGGGCAAGCCUGAUGCAGCGACGCCGCGUGGGGGAUGACGGCUUUCGGGUUGUAAACUCCUUUCGCUAGGGACGAAGCGCAAGUGACGGUACCUGGAGAAGAAGCACCGGCUAACUACGUG
rnacentral:rRNA from 1 species